GGAAGGAGCCGAAGGCUGCAGUCCAGGCGGGCGGCGGGGAGGUGAGCGGCCAGGUGCGGGGGCCAGUCGGUCGGGUGUGCCGACGGGGUGCCGUGGCGCACCCGUCGGGGAAACGAGGGUCCCCGGGGCACCCGGAGGGGAGUGGCUUGUCAGGGGUUUUUCGACGGGGAACGGAAGCCGUGAAGGCAGGUGUGUGCCGGGGACCACGAGCGCACAGCGAGGACGAGCUCAGCACCCGCCGCGCCAGACCCGUCGGCGGGGAGGGGAGAGGAGAGGCGGCGACAGGGGGAUAAGUUAUCACUAUCGGAUUCCAGCAAGCCUGGGGAGCCCUGAGCCAGAUGAAAUCAAAGGACUUAUGUGCAGGUUUCAGAGUUGGGAUCCUCCCACCUAACUGGAGGUUUCUCUUCCUUCGACAAGGAAUACUGAGAAAACACUCCCAUGACCUUCAGGCUGAUCUUGUGAGUGUCUUUCCUGACCUGAGCUUUACAAUCUUCCACAAAGCUCUCUGGGAGGCUCCUACCAUUUGACUGAAGUUAAUCACUGGAAGGGAAAAAUCUACCAGUAUGUAUCAUCUGGAUUGAGUUCAGUUUCCACUUCAUCAAUGGAGAUACCCAGACCUAGAGAGAUGAUACGAUUUGGCCAAGGUCACAGAACUAAUUGCAAGGACAGUUCCUACAGAUGAAGCAAGACCUUUUGCAGAAAAGAAUGGCUUGUCAUUCUUUGAGCCAUCAGCUCUUGUCUCUACCAAUGUAGAAGCUGCUUUUCAGACAAUUCUGAUGGAGAUACGUCGCAUUGUUUCCCAGAAGCGAAUGUCAGACAGAUGUGAAAAUGACGUUUCCAAGCAACACUGUGGUUCCCAUUCAUGUUCCACCAACCACCGAAAAUAAGCCAAAGGUGUGAUGCUUUCAAGACAUGAGACGUUUCUCUUCUCCCCUAGAAGGCUGUGUAUGGUCCAUUUCCCAGGUCUGAGGUUUAAAUAUAUUUGUAAUUCUUGUGGUCACUCUUGUGUUUUA